UGGGGAAUAUUGGACAAUGGGGGAAACCCUGAUCCAGCCAUGCCGCGUGAAUGAUGAAGGCCUUAGGGUUGUAAAGUUCUUUUGUCAGGGAAGAUAAUGACGGUACCUGAAGAAUAAGCACCGGCUAACUUCGUGCCAGCAGCCGCGGUAAUACGAAGGGUGCUAGCGUUGUUCGGAAUCACUGGGCGUAAAGCGCGCGUAGGCGGUUAAUUAAGUCAGGGGUGAAAUCCUGAGGCUCAACCUCAGAAUUGCCUUUGAAACUGGUUAACUAGAGUGUCGGAGGGGAUAGCGGAAUUGCUAAUGUAGCGGUGAAAUGCGUAGAUAUUAGCAGGAACACCGGUGGCGAAGGCGGCUAUCUGGACGACAACUGACGCUGAGGCGCGAAAGCGCGGGGAUCAAACAGGAUUAGAUACCCGUGUAGUCCCUGAGCGGGCUGGCAAGGCGCAU
rnacentral:rRNA from 1 species